rnacentral:rRNA from 1 species
GUGAACGCUGGCGGUAGGCCUAACACAUGCAAGUCGAACGGCAGCACCGUAAGAGCUUGCUCUUACGGGUGGCGAGUGGCGGACGGGUGAGGAAUACAUCGGAAUCUACUUUUUCGUGGGGGAUAACGUAGGGACACUUACGCUAAUACCGCAUACGACCUACGGGUGAAAGCAGGGGAUCUUCGGACCUUGCGCGAUUGAAUGAGCCGAUGUCGGAUUAGCUAGUUGGCGGGGUAAAGGCCCACCAAGGCGACGAUCCGUAGCUGGUCUGAGAGGAGGAGCAGCCACACUGGAGCUGAGACACGGUCCAGACUCCUACGGGAGGCAGCAGUGGGGAAUAUUGGACAAUGGGCGCAAGCCUGAUCCAGCCAUACCGCGUGGGUGAAGAAGGCCUUCGGGUUGUAAAGCCCUUUUGUUGGGAAAGAAAAGCAGCAGGUUAAUACCCCGCUGUUCUGACGGUACCCAAAGAAUAAGCACCGGCUAACUUCGUG